UACGUAGGGGGCAAGCGUUGUCCGGAAUUAUUGGGCGGAAAGCGCGUGUAGGCGGCUCGAUAAGUCUGCUGUGAAAGUCCAGGGCUCAACCCUGGAACGCCGGUGGAUACUGUCGAGCUCGAGUCCGGAAGAGGCGAGUGGAAUUCCUGGUGUAGCGGUGAAAUGCGCAGAUAUCAGGAAGAACACCAAUGGCGAAGGCAGCUCUCUGGGACGGUACUGACGCUGAGACGCGAAAGCGUGGGGAGCGAACAGG
rnacentral:rRNA from 1 species